AAGGCAUCCUGAUAAAAGGACAUGGGCCAUCCUUUAAUUGAUUUCUCAGCUGGACAUUGGAAAUAGCUUUUGAUGGUCCUGGGCUUCUUUCAUUUGACCCGGGAAACAGCUGAGACAUAUGCCCUAAAACUAAAAAAAGAAGAGAGAGUGAGAAAAAAUCAAGCCGAGAGCAUUGAUCUAGAGCUCUAGAAGCAAGACUAAAAAUAUGCCUUCAUGAAAACGUGCCUACAAAAGGUGACCCUUCUUGUUUUGGCUUUAAGAUCAUAAAACUGAGGCAGAGACAGGGCUUAUGUGCCUGCAUUCACAAAGUAAUUCAUGAAGUAAUCAGAGUUAAGAUCCGAAAAAGAACUUCAAACUUGCAACUCAGACCUGUAACUCCCAGUCCAGUAAAUCACUAUGGCUUCUGCUAUUUCAGAGCUACUCUUUGUUUGAAGGAAUGAAAACAUGCCCAUGAUGUUUAACUACUGAAGUAUGCAUUAUUUAGUAUUUAGUAACAAAAAUUUGGCAAUUGGCAUGCCUAAGGGUGGUGAAAGAUUCAAAUGAGUUUUGAAAUUCCAGACUCUCUUAUUCCAUAGCAAUACAUUCCAUUGGCACCUACAGCUUUUCCCACGAAAAGAUGAUGAGAAAGAGAAUGAAUCACAUACGAAGAUUUUAGCCACGACUCUUGCUGCACCAUUAGAACAUGCCAGCAUUAUAAAAGUAACUGCAAAGAAUACUAACUUUGCAACAUUUUUCCCUGUUAAGAAAAGCUUCACGUUGUAUACUCAUCUCCUUAGAAGCAGAAGAGGAACCGUCAUGAAUAUAUUCUUGUGUUUACACACGUAAAUCAUGUGUAAAAUAAUCUACUUAUCAGAAAAAUAUUCAUUAGAGAAUAAUAUUAAAGAUGGCUUGAUAACUUCAUGGGAGGGGGGGAAUGACAUUUGUCAGGAUUUCUCUCUGCAAAGCACCCUGGCAGUCUUUUGACCUGUAUUUUUUCCUUUUCUACAAGUGUCUGUGAUUAAAAAAAAAAAAUGUUUUUGCCUUUGCUUUCUUACUUCCAACCUCCUUGCAGUUUGUUUUCAUUGGUGGACCUAAUUAAAACGUACCAUUUGAGAGAUUUUUCUUACUAACCUUAAGUCUUGUUAAGUGUCUACUUCAUCUUGGGUCUUGAGUUCACACAUUGGUCAGAAGUCACAAUAUUUCUGGAGGGCAAAAAAUAUAUAAUGGAGACUAUGCAAAGGAAAACAGAACAAAGCAAAACAAAAAAACCCCAACGAUUACACUUUCUAAAUACAAUACCGUACAGUAUUGUAUGUCUCAAAAAUGGAAAUGCACAGAAAAUGUUCUGUGUAUAGGUAAUCAUGAACAAAAUGUAGUGCAAGUGUCAGUUAAUGUACAAAAGUAUGAA